rnacentral:rRNA from 1 species
AGCAGCCGCGGUAAUUCCAGCUCCAAUAGCGUAUAUUAAAGUUGUUGCAGUUAAAAAGCUCGUAGUUGAAUUUCGGGAUCAAUAUGUCGGUCGUGCCUCGGUACGUACUGGCGUAAUUGGUUUCUCCCUUCUGAAGAACCUCGAUGUCAUUAAUUUGGUGUCGUGGGGAAUCAGGACUGUUACUUUGAAAAAAUUAGAGUGUUUAAAGCAGGCUCGCGCUUGAAUACAUUAGCAUGAAAUAAUGAAAUAGGACGUUUGAUUCUAUUUUGUUGGUUUCUAGGAUCGACGUAAUGAUUAAUAGGGAUAGUUGGGGGCAUUAGUAUUCAAUUGUCAGAGGUGAAAUUCUUGGAUUUAUUGAAGACUAACUACUGCGAAAGCAUUUGCCAAGGAUGUUUUCAUUAAUCAAGAACGAAAGUUAGGGGAUCGAAGACGAUCAGAUACCGUCGUAGUCUUAACCAUAAACUAUGCCGACUAGGGAUCGGAUGAUGUUAAUUUUUAAUGACUCAUUCGGCGCCUUACG